CAGUAGCCGCGGUAAUACGAAGGGGGCUAGCGUUGUUCGGAUUUACCGGGCGUAAAGGGCGCGUAGGCGGACUGAUAAGUCAGGGGUGAAAUCCCAAGGCUCAACCUUGGAACUGCCUUUGAUACUGUUUGUCUUGAGUUCGAGAGAGGUAAGUGGAACUGCGAGUGUAGAGGUGAAAUUCGUAGGUAUUCGCAAGAACACCAGUGGCGAAGGCGGCUUACUGGCUCGAAACUGACGCUGAGGCGCGAAAGCGUGGGGAGCAAACAGGAUUAGAUACCCCGGUAGUCCCUGUCUCUUAUAC
rnacentral:rRNA from 1 species